GUGGAUGCAUUUGUCCACCUAGGAAUAGACACACGCUGCACAUUUCCUGCAUGCUGGGCUCUGUAAGGAGGAAGGGAGAGGCCCCUGCUUGGAGAAGCUUUCCAUCCAACAGAUGUGGAUGCUACCUAUGCCACCAGUGUCAAACAUAACUUCAGGAUCACAGAAGAGGCCGAGAGUGCUAAAAGGUCACGCUGGAAUGAAGCAUAUGAGGUGAGAACAUAGCAAGAAGCUACCAUCUGUGCACCAGGAAAUGGGCCCUCACAAGACAUCAAAUCUGCCAGCCACCUCAAUGGUGGGCUUUCCAGCCUCCAGAACUGUGAGAAAUAAAUUUCUGUUUUUAUAAGCCA